rnacentral:rRNA from 1 species
UGGCAGAACGGGUGAGUAAACGCGUGGGAAACGUGCCUUUUCGGUUCGGAAUAACCCAGGGAAACUUGGGCUAAUACCGGAUACGCCCUCCGGGGGAAAGAUUCAUCGCCGAAAGAUCGGCCCGCGUCGGAUUAGCUAGUUGGUAGGGUAAUGGCCUACCAAGGCGACGAUCCGUAGCUGGUCUGAGAGGAUGACCAGCCACACUGGGACUGAGACACGGCCCAGACUCCUACGGGAGGCAGCAGUGGGGAAUAUUGGACAAUGGGCGAAAGCCUGAUCCAGCCAUGCCGCGUGGGUGAAGAAGGCCUUAGGGUUGUAAACCCCUUUCAGCGGGGAAGAUAAUGACGGUACCCGCAGAAGAAUCC